UAAGCCCCGAGCGUUGUUCGGAAUCAUUCGGCGUAAAGGGCAUGUAGGCGGCCGCGCAAGCCCGGUGUGAAAUCCCGGGGCUCAACUCCGGGAGUGCGCCGGGAACUGCGCGGCUGGAGUAGCCGUGGGGCAGCCGGAAUUCCGGGUGGAGGGGUGAAAUCUGCAGAUAUCCGGAAGAACACCGAUGGCGAAGGCAGGCUGCCAGCGGAUUACUGACGCUGAGGUGCGAAGGCGCGGGGAGCGAA
rnacentral:rRNA from 1 species